AGCGUAGACGGUGAGACAAGUCUGAAGUGAAAUCCCGGGGCUCAACCCCGGAACUGCUUUGGAAACUGCCUGACUGGAGUGCAGGAGAGGUAAGUGGAAUUCCUAGUGUAGCGGUGAAAUGCGUAGAUAUUAGGAGGAACACCGAUGGCGAAGGCGGUCUGCUGGCACAUCACUGACCCUCAGGGACAGAGUGUGGUAGCGAACA
rnacentral:rRNA from 1 species